GACAAUUUUAUCCUCAUUGUAUUAAUUCUUGUGCAGAGUAAAAAGUUGAGUUGGGUUAUUUUUCCUGCGACAGUUUCAGAGUUCUCUUUCCCAGAUUUGACUGUUCACAUUCUGCAGACAUACAAUUUUUUCUAAUGGACAACCUACGCAUACUAAACAAUUUUUUUCGUUCACAAAUUCUCCCACCAUGUUUUACUUUCGAUCUAAUUCAAUAUUUUGAUAUGGAAGGCGGUGAACACGGAGAUGAUCAUUCCAGAUCCGGCGGAGAUCCUCUCAGCCCGAUAUCCAAACAAAAUUUGUUCUCAGAACUCCUCAAUAAAGCUUAUGCAAUCCUUGCCAGAGUACCACAACGUUGCCUCCAAAUACCACAAUUGUCCAUUACUUCUCAAUAAAGCCUAGACAAACGUUGUCGGAGUACAAUUCUUACUGACCACAUGUCAGAGGACACGCAUAGGAGUUGUCUCUUGGAAUCUGUCAAAAUUGUCUAUCGACUAUACACACAUCGAUAGGCAAGUGGACAUCUCUACAUAUUCUUGAUUAUCUUGUCUUGUCCACCGUAAUUAAGCUGCUAAAAUCGGAAAUCGCUGCUCCUUCUUCACCACCCACACCUUCCACAAAACUUCUCCUAUACUUGUCCUCCAUUAAUACUAUUUCAGAUCUGAUUUUGCAAUUUUUUAUUUUUUGUUUUGCUUCUAAACACCCACUAAAGCAUUUGUCCCCUAGAUAUUAGCAUAUAUUGUAGCAUUUAAUGCCAUUGUUACUAGCCCCAAAAACAUCCCAUCACAUUCCAACUUUCGAACACAAUUGGCAAUUGAGUUGUGAGUUGGUGAGGGCAUAGUUGUCUUUUCGUGCUAUAUUAAAAAUCCUAUUUUGGCAUUCAAUAAAAUACUUUUAAAACAUUGGCAGAUUGACAAGUUUGAGUUUAGAAAAGGGUAUAGAAUAUAAUA